ensembl:misc_RNA 7SK 7SK RNA
GGAUGUGAGGGCGAUCUGGCUGCGACAUCUGUCACCCCAUUGAUCGCCAGGGUUGAUUCGGCUGAUCUGGCUGGCUAGGCGGGUGUCCCCUUCCUCCCUCACCGCUCCAUGUGCGUCCCUCCCGAAGCUGCGCGCUCGGUCGAAGAGGACGACCAUCCCCGAUAGAGGAGGACCGGUCUUCGGUCAAGGGUAUACGAGUAGCUGCGCUCCCCUGCUAGAACCUCCAAACAAGCUCUCAGAAAAGUGCUUGCAAAAGACGUCUUUUUGGGUGACAGCCAUUGCUGAGCUGU